CCGAGGAGAAGUACGACCCACGCUCCCUCUUUGAGCGAUUGCAGGAGCAGAAGGACAAGAAACAAGAGGAAUAUGACGAGCAAUUUAAAUUCAGCAACAUGGUGAGGGUGAGGACGAGGAGGUGUCCAGCUUCCUCGACGAGGUCUCCCGGCAACAGUGCCUGGUGGAGAAGCAACGCAGAGAUGAGGAGAAAAAGGAACUGUUGGAGUACAGAAUAUCCUUUCUUUGGUUUCUAAAAAUAACAUGUUAAAUCUCUCGGUAUUUGCUUUUGGGAUUAUAUUAAUAUGCUCUCCCCCAUUUCUUUGAACGAUGACAGACUUUUAAGAUAAGAUUUAAAAUAAGCACCGAGAUGUAGUUGAAGUCACAGCCAUUUGUGUGUCUAGUUUAUUUGGUUCAUGAAAUAAGAAUCGGAGGAGACUAGUACUUCAUCGGUCUUGAGCACAAUCUGCAUUCUAUCAAAAAGAGUAUGAACAUUAAACACUCACGCUGCAUUCACAACAACA